rnacentral:tRNA from 1 species
GGCAUUGUGGCCUAAUGGUAAGGCGUUGCUUUCCGGUGGCAAAGAUUGUGGGUUCGAGUCCCAUCAGUGGUUA